rnacentral:lncRNA from 1 species
GGCAGCUAUGUAUCUCCAAGCAGCCCAGGAUGAGGUGAAAUAUUUGCUGGGGUUUGUUCUUGGAAGAAGUUGUGAAGGCAAGAAAUUGAACAUCAAGUGACCCUGGAAGAACUACAAAAUUUAAACGCACUAUUUCAGAAACAAAUGGUGAAUGCAUCAGAGAAAUGAACAAAAGAUAUGUUAGAAGUUGACAGAGUUUAGGAGCAUGAAAAGAGAGGAACACGACUGCUGGAUAUGGAAACAUUCAAAAGCAUAAUGAAGCAGAGUAUGAGGUCCCAGAAUAAAAGUACUCGUUGACCCUCAGUACUUCUGUCAACUUGAAGCUGAAUGAAGAGAACGUGCUUGUUUGCAAUUUUCAAAUUUAUGAAUGAUGAGAAUUGAAGUGAAGACCCACACUACAUGGAACAUGGUACACUCUAACAGUCAUUAUCAUCACCGCCAUUGUCAUCAUCAUCAUCAUCAUCAUCAUCAUCAUCAUCAUCAUCAACAACAACAACAACAACACCAUUAAAGAAAAAGGGAAAGCAGAAGAAGUAAGCUGGCAGCUGGGAAACAGACUUCAGGCCCAGCUGAGCAUGCUUACCACAGUUAUUACACGUAAGUUUGGCAAUAAAGUUCAUGUACUAACAUUUACUACAUCCAAGAAAGGAGUUAUCUAUUCUCUAAUGGGAAAGGAAAUUUUUGAAAGCCAGAAAGACAGUG